GACGAACGCUGGCGGCGUGCUUAACACAUGCAAGUCGAACGGAAAGGCCCUGCUUUUGUGGGGUGCUCGAGUGGCGAACGGGUGAGUAACACGUGAGUAACCUGCCCUUGACUUUGGGAUAUCUUCAGGAAACUGGGGCUCAUACCGGAUAGGAGCUCUUGCUGCAUGGUGGGGGUUGGAAAGUUUCGGCGGUUGGGGAUGGACUCGCGGCUUAUCAGCUUGUUGGUGGGGUAGUGGCUUACCAAGGGUUUGACUGGUAGCCGGCCUGAGAGGGUGGCCGGCCACAAUGGGACUGAGAGACGGCGCAGAAGGGAAUGGGAGGCAACAGUGGGGAACAUGACACAGUGGGCGGAAGCCAGAUGCGGCAACGCCGCGUGCGGGAUGACGGCCUUCGGGUUGUAAACCAAUUUCGCCGGAAAUGAGGCGUGAGUGACGGUAAUGGGUAAAGAAGCACCGGCUAACUACGUG
rnacentral:rRNA from 1 species